rnacentral:rRNA from 1 species
UACCAGCACCCCGAGUGGUCGGGACGUUUUUAUUGGGCCUAAAGCAUCCGUAGCCGGUUCUACAAGUCUUCCGUUAAAUCCACCUGCUUAACAGAUGGGCUGCGGAGGAUACUAUAAGACUAGGAGGCAGGAGAGGCAAGCGGUACUCAGUGGGUAGGGGUAAAAUCCGUUGAUCCAUUGAAGACCACCAGUGGCGAAGGCGGCUUGCCAGAAUGCGCUCGACGGUGAGGGAUGAAAGCUGGGGGGAGCAAACCGG